rnacentral:rRNA from 1 species
GGCUCAGGAUGAACGCUGGCGGCGUGCNUAAUACAUGCAAGUCGAGCGAACGGACAGGAGUGCUUGCACUCCUUGAAGUUAGCGGCGGACGGGUGAGUAACACGUGGGUAACCUACCUAUAAGACUGGGAUAACUUCGGGAAACCGGAGCUAAUACCGGAUAAUAUAUACCUCCGCAUGGAGGAAUAGUCAAAGACGGUUCUGCUGUCACUUAUAGAUGGACCCGCGGUGUAUUAGCUAGUUGGUGAGGUAACGGCUCACCAAGGCAACGAUACAUAGCCGACCUGAGAGGGUGAUCGGCCACACUGGGACUGAGACACGGCCCAGACUCCUACGGGAGGCAGCAGUAGGGAAUCUUCCGCAAUGGACGAAAGUCUGACGGAGCAACGCCGCGUGAGUNAAGAAGGUUUUCGGAUCGUAAAACUCUGUUGUAAAGGG